rnacentral:rRNA from 1 species
GAUGAACGCUAGCUACAGGCUUAACACAUGCAAGUCGAGGGGAAACGGCAUUGAGUGCUUGCACUCUUUGGACGUCGACCGGCGCACGGGUGAGUAACGCGUAUCCAACCUUCCCAUUACUGUGGGAUAACCUGCCGAAAGGCCGACUAAUACCGCAUAGUCUUCGAUGACGGCAUCAGAUUUGAAGUAAAGAUUUAUCGGUAAUGGAUGGGGAUGCGUCUGAUUAGCUUGUUGGCGGGGUAACGGCCCACCAAGGCGACGAUCAGUAGGGGUUCUGAGAGGAAGGUCCCCCACAUUGGAACUGAGACACGGUCCAAACUCCUACGGGAGGCAGCAGUGAGGAAUAUUGGUCAAUGGACGGAAGUCUGAACCAGCCAAGUAGCGUGCAGGAUGACGGCCCUAUGGGUUGUAAACUGCUUUUGUAUGGGGAUAAAGUCAAUCACGUGUGAUUGUUUGCAGGUACCAUACGAAUAAGGACCGGCUAAUUCCGUGCCAGCAGCCGCGGUAAUACGGAAGGUCCAGGCGUUAUCCGGAUUUAUUGGGUUUAAAGGGAGCGUAGGCUGGAUAUUAAGUGUGUUGUGAAAUGUAGACGCUCAACGUCUGACUUGCAGCGCAUACUGGUUUCCUUGAGUACGCACAACGUUGGCGGAAUUCGUCGUGUAGCGGUGAAAUGCUUAGAUAUGACGAAGAACUCCGAUUGCGAAGGCAGCUGACGGGAGCGCAACUGACGCUUAAGCUCGAAGGUGCGGGUAUCAAACAGG